GUGCUGGUGGAAGAUAAAUGGUUGCAAGUUUCCAGUCUUGGCAGCAAUAGCAAGGGAUGUUCUUGGAAUCCAAACCUCCACAGUAGCCUCCGAGUCUUGUUUUUCAACAGGAGGCAGAGUGAUUGACUGUUUUAGGAGCUCAUUAACUCCUAGAACAGUGGAGGGACUGAUUUGCAUGCAGAACUGGUUGCUAGGUGAUGAUAUUGCAGAGGUUGUUGAUGAUUGCUCAAUUGAAAACCUCGAGUUUUAUGAAGAAGUUGAGCAAGAGCAUGAAAGCACUGCAUCUAGCAAAACCAAUGUAUGUCCAGCUCCAAAUCCAAGAGCAAAAGGCAAGGGAAAGCUUGGGGCAGCUAGUAAUGUGAUAGAUGUUUGAACUUUGUUCAAUUCAUUUAGUUGUGUGCACAUUUUCAAUGAAGUGUCAAAUUGUGAACUGUAAUGGAUUAUUAAAUUAUGCAGAUUUGGUCUUCUUUCAGUUCUUUGAGUUGCAGUUUGCUUAUUAUAUGAUGUUUUUCUUCUUGUUUAGGUUUAGUUGCAGCUUGCUUUAAUGGAAAUGUAGAAAUGCAUUAGCUUUAGUUGCAACUUGCUUUGAUACUUUGGUCUUCUUUGAGUUGUAGCUUGCUUUAAUGGAAAUGUAGAAAUGCAAAACAGGGAAAUUGAUGAAA